rnacentral:rRNA from 1 species
AGGACGAACGCUGGCGGCGUGCUUAACACAUGCAAGUCGAACGAGGUCCAUCCAGUGGCAACACUGGUGAAGACCUAGUGGCGAACGGGUGAGUAACACGUGAGGAACCUGCCCCGAAGACCGGGAUAACCCUCCGAAAGGAGAGCUAAUACCGGAUACCCUCACCGAAUCGCAUGGUUUGGUGAGGAAAUGGAUUCCGCUUCGGGAGGGCCUCGCGGCCUAUCAGUCUUGUGGUGGGUAACGCCACCAAGGCAUCGACGGGUAGCUGGUCUGAGAGGACGACCAGUCGACACUGGGACUGAGACACGGCCAGACUCCUACGGGAGGCAGGCAGGUGGGGAAUCGUUGCAACAAGUUGGGACGAAAAGGCCUAGGAUGCAGCAACGCCGCGUGCGGAUGACGGCUCGGUUGUAACCG